rnacentral:rRNA from 1 species
AUUGAACGCUGGCGGCAGGCUUAACACAUGCAAGUCGAACGAGUGGCGGACGGGUGAGUAAUGCUUGGGAAUCUAGCUUAUGGAGGGGGAUAACUACGGGAAACUGUAGCUAAUACCGCGUACCAUAGGAUGAGCCCAAGUGGGAUUAGGUAGUUGGUGAGGUAAAGGCUCACCUAGGCGACGAUCUCUAGCGGGUCUGAGAGGAUGGUCAGCCACACUGGGACGGAGACACGGCCCGGAAGCCUACGUGAGGCAGCAGUGGGGAAUAUUGAACAAUGGGCGCAAGCCUGAUGCAGCCAUGCCGCGUGUAUGAAGAAGGCCUUCGGGUUGUAAAGUACUUUCAGUCGGGAGGCGUUACCGACAGAAGAAGCACCGGCUAACUCCGUGCCAGCCGCCGCGGUAAUAC